rnacentral:rRNA from 1 species
GAUGAACGCUAGCGGGAGGCUUAACACAUGCAAGUCGAGGGGCAGCACAAGAUAGCAAUAUUUUGGUGGCGACCGGCGCACGGGUGAGUAACACGUAUGCAACCUACCCUGUACAGGGGGAUAACCCGGAGAAAUUCGGACUAAUAUCCCAUAAAGAUAUUGAAAGGCAUCUUUUGAUAUUUAAAGUUCCGGCGGUACGGGAUGGGCAUGCGUAACAUUAGCUGGUUGGUAAGGUAACGGCUUACCAAGGCUUUGAUGUUUAGGGGUCCUGAGAGGGUGAUCCCCCACACUGGUACUGAGACACGGACCAGACUCCUACGGGAGGCAG